rnacentral:misc_RNA from 1 species
GUGAAAUGGUAUUUUCAAUCAAGUAUAUUUUAGAUGCAAGCAUAUAGGUGACAAAGUUUGUUCUAGAUAUUUAUUACUUGCAAGAUUUGUGUUUGAAUCCUAGCAUUAUUAUACUCAGUUGAUGGUCAGAGAAAAGGAAUUGCAUUAACUUGCGCUAUAUUUCCUUGGUUCUUAACUGGGGGAGCGGUCUUCCGCUUUCUGCGAAAAA